UGGGGAAUAUUGCACAAUGGGGGAAACCCUGAUGCAGCGACGCCGCGUGAGCGAAGAAGGUUUUCGAAUCGUAAAGCUCUGUCUUAUGGGAAGAUAAUGACGGUACCAUAGGAGGAAGCCCCGGCUAACUACGUGCCAGCAGCCGCGGUAAUACGUAGGGGGCAAGCGUUUGCCGGAAUUACUGAGCGUAAAGGGUUCGCAGGCGGAAAUGCAAGUCAGUUGUGAAAGGCAGGGGCUCAACCUCUGUAAGCAAUUGAAACUGUGUUUCUUGAGAUGUGGAGAGGGAAGUGGAAUUCCUAGUGUAGCGGUGAAAUGCGUAGAUAUAAGGAAGAAUACCGGUGGCGAAGGCGACUUGCUGGACACAAACUGACGCUGAGGAACGAAAGCGUGGGUAGCAAACAGG
rnacentral:rRNA from 1 species